AUUAGAUGGCAUCAUUUGAUAUUGAAAACUCCGGUGGAUAGAGAUGGGCACGCGCAAGAUUAGAUAGUUGGUGAGGUAACGGCUCACCAAGUCAGUGAUCUUUAGGGGGCCUAAGAGGGUGAUCCCCCACACUGGUACUGAGACACGGACCAGACUCCUACGGGAGGCAGCAGUGAGGAAUAUUGGACAAUGGGUGAGAGCCUGAUCCAGCCAUCCCGCGUGAAGGACGACGGCCCUAUGGGUUGUAAACUUCUUUUGUAUAGGGAUAAACCUACUCUCGUGAGAGUAGCUGAAGGUACUAUACGAAUAAGCACCGGCUAACUCCGUGCCAGCAGCCGCGGUAAUACGGAGGGUGCAAGCGUUAUCCGGAUUUAUUGGGUUUAAAGGGUCCGUAGGCGGAUCUGUAAGUCAGUGGUGAAAUCUCAUAGCUUAACUAUGAAACUGCCAUUGAUACUGCAGGUCUUGAGUAAAUUUGAAGUGGCUGGAAUAAGUAGUGUAGCGGUGAAAUGCAUAGAUAUUACUUAGAACACCAAUUGCGAAGGCAGGUCACUAAGAUUUAACUGACGCUGAUGGACGAAAGCGUGGGGAGCGAACAGGAUUAGAUACCCUGGUAGUCCACGCCGUAAACGAUGCUAACUCGUUUUUGGGUUUUCGGAUUCAGAGACUAAGCGAAAGUGAUAAGUUAGCCACCUGGGGGAGUACGUUCGCAAGAAUGAAACUCAAAGGAAUUGACGGGGGCCCGCACAAGCGGUGGAUUAUGUUGGUUUAAUUCGAUGAUACGCGAGGAACCUUACCAAGACUUAAAUGGGAAAUGACAGAUUUAGAAAUAGAUCCUUCUUCGGACAUUUUUCAGGUGCUGCAUGGUUGUCGUCAGCUCGUGCCCUGAGGGGUUUAGGUUAAGUCCUGCAACGAGCCCACCCCUGUCACUAGCUGCUAGCAUUAAGUUGAGGACUCUAGUGAAACUGCCUACCCAGUUAAAAAGAAAGGUGGGGAUGACUUCAAUCCUCCCGGCCCUUACGUCUUGGGCCACCACGUAAUCAAUGGCCGGUACGAAGGCACCUACCAGCGAUUGAUGCAAUCCCAAAG
rnacentral:rRNA from 1 species